rnacentral:rRNA from 1 species
GGGGAAUAUUGGACAAUGGGGGCAACCCUGAUCCAGCAAUGCCGCGUGUGUGAAGAAGGUCUUCGGAUUGUAAAGCACUUUCGACGGGGACGAUGAUGACGGUACCCGUAGAAGAAGCCCCGGCUAACUUCGUGCCAGCAGCCGCGGUAAUACGAAGGGGGCUAGCGUUGCUCGGAAUGACUGGGCGUAAAGGGCGUGUAGGCGGUUUACACAGUCAGAUGUGAAAUCCCCGGGCUUAACCUGGGAGCUGCAUUUGAUACGUGUAGACUAGAGUGUGAGAGAGGGUUGUGGAAUUCCCAGUGUAG